ACAAUCCUUCGGGUGCGUUAAUGGGCGUCGAGCGGCGGACGGGUGAGUAAUGCCUAGGAAAUUGCCUUGAUGUGGGGGAUAACCAUUGGAAACGAUGGCUAAUACCGCAUAAUGCCUACGGGCCAAAGAGGGGGACCUUCGGGCCUCUCGCGUCAAGAUAUGCCUAGGUGGGAUUAGCUAGUUGGUGAGGUAAUGGCUCACCAAGGCGACGAUCCCUAGCUGGUCUGAGAGGAUGAUCAGCCACACUGGAACUGACACACGGUCCAGACUCCUACGGGAGGCAGCAGUGGGGAAUAUUGCACAAUGGGCGAAAGCCUGAUGCAGCCAUGCGGCGUGUAUGAAGAAGGCCUUCGGGUUGUAAAGUACUUUCAGUUGUGAGGAAGGGGGUGGCGUUAAUAGCGCUAUCUCUUGACGUUAGCAACAGAAGAAGCACCGGCUAACUCCGUGCCAGCAGCCGCGGUAAUACGGAGGGUGCGAGCGUUAAUCGGAAUUACUGGGCGUAAAGCGGAUGCGGGUGGUUCAUUAAGUCAUAUGUGAAAGCCCGGGGCUCAACCUCGGAACUGCAUUUGAAACUGGUGAACUAUAGU
rnacentral:rRNA from 1 species